UUUUCUGACACAAUUUAAUUUCAGUGCUAGUGAGCAGAUGUUUUAGGGUAUAAGAGCCAUGUUGCUAUUUCAGUUAUGAUAUAAUUAAACAACAACUGUCUGGUCUGGGUGGGGUUGCUUGCAUCUGUGUGAUUGUUGAUGCCAGCAGUAGCAGUGCAGCUAGGUGCCUGCUAAUCAGGGAGGCAGGGAGAGCAGGGUGUGCUCACAUAGCAGCAGAUGGGUGGCACAGUACACAUGCACACACACACCACUGGGGGGAAAAAGUGAGCUCUGCCUGUGUGGAUGCUAGCAAAGCAGUGGGAGUGUGGCCAUGUUUGUGAAUCCUGGCAAUGCAGGCAUGGAGGAGGCUGCAGUGGGAGAGGGUGUGGGUGGGCUUUUGUGUGUCAGUGGGGGCUGCAUUGAUAGAGUUCUGUGAUGAUCAGGUGCAGUCUGUUGGUGAAGGAGCUAUGAUGUGAGCCCCCAGGAAGCACCUUGAUUGGGCAUCCAAGGCUGUGCUGCAAGCACGUACAGCCAGAUCGGGGCCCCACGAGAGGCCAGCAGAUAGGGUGUUCUCAGAUAAAACUGGCUCCAUCUAACCAGCAUUAAAAGAAAAACAGGAUUUAUACCUCUCUGUGUUUCUUUGAUCCCAAGCAGUUGCUUAGCUAAAGACAUGAAUUGUUUUUUGGUCUCUAAAGAUCUUCUCCAAGAUGACAGUAUGACAAACCAUUAACAACCAAUAAGAUCAGCAGAAACUCUGAACUAGUGAGGAAUUCUCCAUAAGUGUAUUGCCGUCAUUGGACCCUCUGUACAUUAGUUGUCAAUAAGUUUAUCAUAUUUAUUUAUGGUAAAAAUAUUCAAUUAUCUGCUACAUAGUUAAAGAAACAGGAUGCUAUAGAAAUGAUUUUGAUAGUUAGCAUUACCUGUAAAUUUAGCUAUGAACCUGGUUGGUCUCUGUUAGGAAGACACCUGUCAUUUCUAAGCCUGACAUAGAUUGUGGCUGAUUUUGUUUUUUUCUUAAUUUAAUUUAAUAUUAAGUUCCAGGAUACAUGUGCAGGAUGUGCAGGUUUGUUACAAAGGUAAACAUGUGCCAUGGUGGUUUCCUGUGCCUAUCAACCCAUCGCCUAAGUAUUAAGCCUUGCAUUAAUUUUCUGUUUAUCUGAUGCUUCCCUAAUCCCCACUCCCCUGACAGGCCCCAGUGUGUGUUAUACCUUCCCUGUGUCCAGGUGUUCUCAUUGUUCAGCUACCACUUAUAAGUGAGAAUGUCAGUGUUUGAUUUUCUGUUCCUGUGUUAGUUUGCUGAGGAUAAUAGCAUCCAGCUCUAUCUAUGUUUCUGCAAAGACAUGAUCUCAUUCCUUUCUAUGGCUGCAUAGUAUUCCAUGGUGCAUAUGUGCCCCACUUUCUUUAUCUAACCUAUCACUGAUGGACAUUUGGGUUGAUUCCAUGUCUGUGCUAUUGUAAAUAGUGCUGCAAUGAACAUAUGUGUGUGUAUAUCUUUAUAAUAGAAUGAUUUAUAUUCCUUUGGGUAUAUACCCAGUAAUGGGAUUGUUGGGUCAAAUGCAAUUUCCAGUUUUAAGUCUUUGAGUAAUUGCCACACUGUCUUCCACAAUGGUUGAACUAAUUUACAUUUCACAAACAGUGUAAAAGUGUUCCUAUUUCUCCACAACUUCACCAGCAUCUGUUUUUUCUUGACUAUUUAGUAACUGCCAUUCUGACUAGCAUGAGAUGGUGUCUCAUUGUGGUUUUGAUUUGCAUUUCUCUGUUGAUCAGUAAUGUUGAACUUUUUUACAUGUUUGUUGGCUGCAUAAAUGUCUUCUUUUGAGAAAUGUCUGUUCAUGUUCUUUGCUCACUUUUUGAUUUUUUCAAUUGUAAAUUUGUUUAAGUUUCUUGUAAAUUUUGGAUAUUAGACCUUUGUCAGAUGGAUAGAUUGCAAAAUUUUCUCCCAUUCUAUAGGUUGUCUGAUCACUCUGAUGAUAAUUUCUUUUGUAGUGCAGAACCACUUUAGUUUAAUUAGUUCCCCUUGGUCAAUUUUUGCUUUUGUUGCAAUUGCUUUUGAUGUUUUUGUCAUGAAAUCUUUGCUUAUGUCUAUCUCUUAAAUGGUAUUGCCUACAUUUUCUUCUAGGAUUUUUAUAGUUUUGGGUUUUAAAUUUAAGUCCUUAAUACAUCUUGAGUUAAUUUUUGUAUAAGGCAUAAGGAAGGGGUACAGUUUUAGUUUUCUGCUUAUGGCUAGCCAGUUAUCCCAGCACUAUUUAUUAAAUAUGGAAUCCUUUCCCUGUUGCUUGUUUUUGUCAGGUUUGUCAAAGCUCAGAUAGUUGUAGAUGUGUGGUCUUAUUACUGAGAUCUCUAUUCUGUUCCAUUGGCCUAUGUGUCUGUUUUGGUGUCCCUACCAUGCUGUUUUUGUUACUGUGACCUUACAGUAUAGUUUGUAGUCAGGCAAUGUGAUGUUUCCAGUUUUCUUCUUUUUGCUUAGGAUUGUCUUGACUAUUCAUGCUCUUUUUUGGUUUCAUAUUAAUUUAAAUGUAGUUUUUUCUAAUUCUGUGAAGAAUGUCAAUGGUAGUUUAAUGGGAAUAGUAUUAAAUCUAUAAAUUCAUUGGGCAGUAUGACCAUUUUCACAAUAUUGAUUCUUCCUAUUUACAAGCAUGGAAUGUUUUUCCAUCUGAUUGUGUCCUCUUUUAUUUUCUUGAGCAGUGGUUUGUAGUUUUCCUUGAAGAAGUCCUUCACAUCUUUUGUUAGCUGUAUUCCUAGGUAUUUUAUUCUCUUUGUAGCAAUUGUGUAUGGGAGUUCAUUCAUGAUUUGGCUCUCUGUUUGUCUAUUGUUGAUGUAAAGGAAUGCUUGAGAUUUAUGCACACUGAUUUUGUAUCCUGAGACUUGGCUGAAGUUGCUUAAAUUGCUGCUGAUUUUAUAUGACAACCUCUGCAUGCUGUAACAUAACUAUUUAUUACCUAAAGCUAUCUGAUACAUUUUCUUUAACACAAAAUCUUCAGUCUUGCAGAAAAUUUAGCAUUUUGCUGUUUACCCUUUCAAAUCUCAAAAUGGUAAUACAUCUUACUAGGUUACCUGGUUUACAAGAUAAUGAGACUUUCAGAAAAUAUGGUUUAUCACACACAAAAAGAAAUGAAUGUAAGAGUCCUAGGUCAAUAUUUCUUGUGUGCAAGAAUAUCAAAGGAAGGGAAAAAAGAAGAAUAAAUCAGAUUCUUUUAAUUGGGACUGACUUCUAGACCAUAGCAGAUGGUAACCUAAGGGGAAGAGAUGACUCACCAUAUCUAUUUAGAGAAAGCCAGUGAACAGACUGUUACCCAUCCUCUUAUGAGUUUGUUUGCCUGUGAACUGACCUAAGAAAUCCACCAAAUUUAACCAUUGUCUCAUUGAAAAAAUGGCUUAGUACCAAAAGAGGCAGGAAAUCACUAUUGACCAUCUUUAAAUACCCACCAAACUAAGGCUCAGGGAAGAAGACGUUUCCAAGGGAGUCAUUUUCCAAGUUAGCAGCUGCUUAUUUGCUUAUGUAGCUCAGUCUUCUGCAGUGCCCUCUUCUGUGAGAGCGGAGAACUUCAGCCAUGUCAAUAGGCACACACAACUUGCCUUUCUAUCAGUUUCCAUCAUAACUCAAAGCACAUCAAGCAUUUGAUUAGAGUCAUAAGGUCCUGCUGCAGAGCAUAUAGCCCUUAAAAUGUCUUUAAUCUUCACUUCCUAUGCACAUAUUCUACAUCUCAACCCACCCCCACUUGCUGAAGCUAACUUGCAUGCUUUGUUUUCCCUCCUCAUAAUUCUUAGCCAGUUGUAAUGCAAAGCACUUCAUCUGUCCCACAUUACCUCAAACCUAGGUACCAUCACCCGCCAAAGCAUUUAGCAUUCUAGUUAGGACACUCAUGCCUUUUAGAAAGAUUCAUGAAUUAUAAGGGUUUUUUUUUAAUGCUUCACUUAAAUAUAUUCACAUAUGCAAUGGAUUCUAUCACAAUGUUUAGCAAGAAAUUUAGCCAUAUUGGUAAAAUCUGUUUCAGAAAAGGCCAGUUCAUGUGUUUUAAUCCUUCUGGGAAGAAGCUAAAGAUUUCACAUAUGUACAUCCAAUGACAAAAUCUUCAAAAACUAAUACAUAUUUAUACAUUAUGGUAGGAAGGUUACAAGGUAAAGGAAGGUGGGAUAAAAUUAAACCAAAGCUAUAUCCUUUCAUGUAUCAGUAGGAUUAAAAGAAAUAGGAUAAGCAAAUAGCCUGGAAAUUAAUGUGCUUAAAAUAAAUAAAAUUUGGUUUACAUAAGUAUUGUCCAUAAGGUAGGUCUAUAUAAUGCAUACGAGUUAGAGUGUAACAAGUUCUUCAUCCAUAGAGUUCCCAGAGUUACCAACCCCAUAUUAUAUUUUCUGCUCAUUUGCAAACAAGACAGAGUUUGGCUAAUUCUUUGAAGCUGUUAUACCCACAAACAAAGUUGCACAUAAGUACAAAAAUUCAUGUGUUGCAUGCAGUCACCACAUUUCUUUAGGCUAGUUUAAUCUGAAAGAAUUCCAAUCUUAUGAGCUGAUAAUUUUAUAGAAUGCCUCCCUGUUUAGGCUUAGUCUGGUGUUUCCUCCUCAUUCAAUUUAGGUUACACAUUUUUGAAAGGAGUAUUAUGACUUGUGACAGUCCCGUUACAGAGGAUGUUAACUUUAUUCAGAUUUGGCCAGUGAGAGGCCCGUCAACAUGGCUCUUACAUCCUCUUGGCACUCCUCCGUUAUUCUUCGAGAACUUCCUUAAUUCCAGAAGCCAGCUACCAGGUCAUGAACAGUCCUAAGGAAAAGUCUACAUGGCAAGGAACUGAGCACUCCAGACAACAAUCGUGCAUGAGUUUAGAAAGGAAUCCUUCAGCUCCAGUCCAGCCUUCAGAUGUGUAUUAGUCCAUUCUCACACUACUAUAAAUAAUUACCGAGACUGCAUAAGUUAUAAAGAAAAGAGGGUGAAUUAGUUCACAGUUCUGCAGGCUGUACAUUCCAUGCAUCCUUCUGCAUGCCUGGGAGCCUCAGAAAACUUGCAAUGAUUCUGGAAGGUGAAGGGGAAGCAAGCACAUUUUACCAUGGUGGAGGAGGGAAGUGCUACACCCUUUUAAACAACCAGAUCUUGUGAGAACUCACUCACUAUCAUAAGAACAGCAGGGGGAAAUCUGCCCCCAUGAUCCAAUCACUUCCCACGAAGUGAAUCCUCCAACAUUGGGAAUUACAAUUCAACGUGAGAUUUGAGUGUGGACAUAGAGCCAAACCAUAUCAAGAUGACUGCAGCCUUAGCUAACAUGUUGACUGCAACUUUAUGAGAAGCCCUGAACCUGAACUAUCAUUAAGCCACUUCUUGAUUCUUGAUUCUCAGAAACUGGUGAAAGAUGUUUUUCAUUUUAAGCUCCUACAUCUUGGGGUAAUUUGUUAUACAAGAAUAGGUAAAUAAUGCAUUUUUUAUAUUCACAUAUAUAAAUACUAGCUAAUCUCCUCCUUUUUAUUAUAAUUUUGUAUUAUAAGUACUGUGUUAGUUUAAUUAAAAAUUUGGACUCUUGAAUACAGAAUAAUCUGAUGAGAUUGUGGCUGAACAAGAGAUGAAUAAUGUGAUUGAUGGAUCUUUGUAUCUCUGCUUGUUUUUAAGAGAGGGAAAGGCUAUCUUCACUUGUACAAGGGUUAAUUGCAUCAUACCAGGUGGAAGCAUAAAGAUGGUGUUAUUGCUUCAUGGAAGCUUAAAUGUGGUUAAAGGCAGUGUUUGAAUAUUGAAAAGCUAAUGGUUGGGCUGGGCUGAUUAUUUUUGUUUGGUUUUAGCUCCCACACAUUUCUAUUCUUUGAUCAAUGCUGCUGGGCUUGGUAAUUGAAAACUACAUUUCCCAGAUGCCUUUGCCAGCUGCCUUCCUGUUUGUUUUGCCAAUGGGAGGAAUUGGGAGGACAGCAGAAGGUAAAACCUGCAUGGCCCCUGUACUGACAGUAGUGACAGUUGCCAGCAAUGAGGGCAGUACAAGUAGGGGUAGGCUGCUGUGAGUCUAGCAGCCCAGAAAGUGCACACCCUCUCUGGUGACUCUGCUACCUUGGUGACCCCUCUUUGAUUCCAACAUUGUCAGACAGAAUAGGCUCUCAGCAUUUCCAGAGCUGGCAGCUGCAGAGGCUAUCCACGGCACAAAAGUCAAGUGCAGCACAUGGGUUCCAGUUAGAGGUACUAGCAACUUUCUGAUAUUUUACUCUCAUUCCUCCCCCUUUUAAAAAGUUCUCUAGCAUCCCCUACUAAAUCUUUUUGAUCUGCAGUCCUCCUAAUCACUUUAUAAAUCAUUCACUAUAUUAUAUCUCUUCUAGUUUAAAUCCUUAAAAUGGUUUAUAUUUUCCUGACAGUCAUAAGAGUACAGAGUCUCGUUCUGCACAUGUACCCCCAAACCUAAAAUGCAAUAAAAAAAAAUUACAGAUUCUCAGGCUUCACGAAGAUGCAUUUUGGGAAACAAGAAGCUUAAAUAUUCCUCAAAUGUUUAUCUUUAUCUCUAAAUAUUUCAGAAUACAUAAAAUGAAAGCAUUUUACCUGCAUUGUUCUCUAGAAGACUAUGCUUAAGAUCAAAGUUUGUUAACAUCUGGAAACUAGUAUAGUGCUAACACUUGUAGUAAGGACCAAUGCAAAGCAAUCCAUAAUCCAGAAACUAGUACUAUGAAACACUUAAUUCAGUACUUAACUAUUCAGCUACAAAGUCAAAUGUUCUCAUGCUAAGAUACGUUUAUACUCAAUAUAAUUAUUUGCUUAUUUAACUGGAAACUCAUGUUCUCGUCGCACGUUGUGUAUUAACUCAGUGUUUGUAGACAUUUUCAAAUCUUGGUUUUUUUUCUUUUUUUCUAUUCUAUGGUUUUUAGUGUGCUUUUAUUGUAUUAAAUAAAGGAGGAAGUUGAGAGUGAAAAUACUGAUGCAGAGAUGCUCGUUAAUUGAUAAUUGAUCAAUGCUAAUUGCUUCCUAUCUGAUCUGGCUUCUGACAACCUCCACCUGCACCUCUACCACUUUCUGUGGUUCUGCAGCCACACUGGCCUUCUUGCUAUUCCUCAAGUGCACUAAUCUGUUCCCAUCUCAGGAACUGUUCCCUCUGCCUGGAAUGCUCCUCCCUGUAUCUCCAUCUGCCUCACUCCCUCUCAUCAUUACUGUCUUUGCUAAAAUAUUAACUUUAAAGACAGCCUUUUCCUCUCCCCACAUCCUGGGCAUCCAGAUUGCCUACCCACCUACAUCUUCUCCAACUGGGCCUACUUUGCUUUUCCUCUCAGCACUUGUGUCUCCCUGAAAGCAUAGUCUAUAAAUAUAUGCUUAUUCUUUUACUCUCUUUCACAGAGUGUAAAUUCUGCCAGGCCUAGAAAACUGUCUUUGCUCACCACCUUAUAUCCUGUGCCUAGAACAGUGGAUGCUUGGCAUUUACAGAGUCAGGUGAACAAUUAUUAUAUCAGUGCUUUGGUUCAUAUGUUUUCACUACACGCACGUUUCAUAUUUUUGCCUCUGCCAAUUUUGGAGAUUAAAUAAGCACUUUCAGCAUUAUAUGUUUUAAGCAAUACAGAGUGUGAUGAUUUGUUGUAUGUGUCAACUUGACUGGGCCAUGGGGUGCCCAGGUGCUUGACCAGAUGUUUUCUGAGUGCUUUUGUGAGAAUGUUUUUGGAUGAGUUUAAUAUUUAAAUCAAUAGACUGAGUAAAGCAGAUGGUCCUCCCUCAUGUGGGUGGGCCUCAUCCAAUCAGUUGACAGCCUUAAUGAGAUUUAUAAUAAGAUAAUUUAUAAUAAGAAUAAGAGGGAAUUCCUCCUGCCUGACUGCCUCCUAGCUGGGGACAUUGGUUUCUUUCAAUCCAAACACUGGGUCUUCCUGGAUCUUGAGCCUGCUCAGUUUUGUCCUGAACUCAUCAAUUGGCUCUCCUGAUUCUCCAGCCUCGGACUUGGACUGGAAUCCACCAUUAGUAUUCCUGGCUCUCCAGGUUGCCAACUGCAGGUAUUAGGACUUGUCAGGCUCCAAAAUUUAUGAUCCAAUUCCUUGUAAGAAGUAUCUUGAUAGAUAGAUAGAUAGAUGAUAGAUAGAUGAUCGACAGAUAGAUAGACAGGCAGACACAUUCUAUUGGGUUCUGUUUCUCUGGAAAUCCUGGCUAAUAUACACAUGUUAUCUAAUUUUUCUACACAUUUUACAUAGAUUAAAAACUUUCCAUGUCAACUGAGUAUCUCACAGGUGAGUGCUGUUGGUCAAAUUUUUCGUGACAAUGUUCAUGAAUGGUGUGGUUCUAGUUGCCACUACUUUGAGAUACAUACCUCAAUGAUGCUAUGAAUCUUGGCUCAUUACUUUCAUUCAAAUGUCUGUACAGAAGUCAACAUACUCAAGUUAAACUUAACAGGAUUUCAGUACUACUUUGCAAUAAAAGUACCGUUUAUCAUGCAGUCACAUUCGAUAAAGAGAUUUGACUCAAUAAGGUGAAUGAAUCCUGCCACCGCUUAGAAUGCCCUAAAUGAUACACAGUGUAUAUCACAGUGUGUAGCACCCCAUAUUUAGACUGUUUUCUAAAAUGACUUAAUUUUGUGUUACUAAGCUCAUUUUAAUAAAGAAUAUAUGUGCCUCUCACUUAUGAGUUCCUUAAAUCAAGUUCUUUUCCCCCCACUCAGAUAUUUCCAGAUAUUCUAUAUAUUUUAAAUUUCAAAGCAUUUUAAAUGAUGCUUAUGCUAGAGAAGUUCUGGUUGUGCAAUACUGAGAAAUUGAGAGUUGAAAUACAAGAAUCAAUUUUGCGUUUUGCACUGUUUUCCUAUAUGAGUCUAAAAUAUGUAUUUUCUUCUCUAUGCUAAUUAGAUGUUAACUGGAAUAUAAGAGAAUAAAUUUACAACUCAAGUCUCCUUCCAUUGCCUUAUAUUUUGUUUGCAUCAUUUUGUUGAUUCUAAGUCAGGAUUUUAAAAAGGGAGAGAGAAGCCCAACAAAGAAUCCCUUAGUCAUACAUCAAUUACAAGUUCUUUUUGUUCUGCCUUAAUCCCUUUUCUUUGCAAGCAUCAGUAUCUUGCUUAUAUCCAUCCUCUUGAGGUAAGAGAGACCAGUCUAAGCCCUCUUCGCAUGGUCAGUGUCUACUUGUACAUAGGAGGCACUCAACAUGGUUUUUGAUAGUAGUAAUUACUUUUUGUUUAAAUUAAUAAAACAAUUUAAUUCGUCAAUGCUCUAUAAAAAUGAAAUCAUGCAAAUAUUCAGAUAUAUUUGACUUGCCUGUCCCAAAUUAUUCUACUUUGAAUAAUAGUUCUUGUUUUGUACUUGUGGGUUUUGGUAGGUUUCGUGUUUUGCUGAGAAGGCACACAGCCCUCCCCCUCCUAGUUUGCCCUUGAUACCUGGAUGCUUGUAUUGUACACUGAUGCUUCCACCUCACUUGGAGAGAUUGAGCUUACUUGCCAGUGUGCCGUUCAUCCACAUGGAUUCCCUGUAGAAAAAUGUAAAGCAGAUUGUUCUGUUUUCUGACCAUUCUUGAGACAAGCUUAAGCAUUCCCCCACCCUUUUCAAUUGGAUUGGCUACUUUCAUUAAUCUGGAACUAGCAUUCUAUAUAACAUAGAAUUUCCACAGUCUCAAUGGCAGGCUUGUCCCAUGCCAUGACCUCCAUCCUCUCUUCAUUAAGUAAGUGUGUGAACCAAUGAAAGCCUGCGAUUCUUCCCAAAGUUGAUUUAGUGGCGUCAUCAGCUUGAACAGGUCGAUAUUCUCUGAUCCUCUAAUUUAGAGAGAAAGCACAAUGUGAAUUUUUAAAAGAUUUAUUACAUUGCAAACUG